AAGAAGAAACCAAGAAAUACCUCUUAAGUAGUAAGCAGUGGACGAAAGAUGUGCUUUUUUUCCGUAUCGUAUCUCCGUCCGCACUGUGGUCUAACUUCGAGGAGAUGGCGACCUUUGCUGGAGGCUGACUUCGGGAGCUCCAACCGUGGGAGCCUCGCGAUCCCUUUGAUCGACCUUGGAGCUCCAACCGCGGCAGCCUGUGGAUUUUAACAUCGUGGAGCUCGCGGUCUCUGUGGGGUUACGUUUGCUACCCGCCGUGAGGCGGGGGAUUCGAUCACCGGCUGCGGAAGCUUUGAUCGCCCCGACUGGGGAUGGUUCGACUGCCCCGACCACGGGAGAAUAAAGAAGAAGAUUGGAAUUUAUUGUCUUCCAUCACAUUGAGGAAUGUGGGGAAUCCAUUGUGGUGGAUGUUUAUGUUAACUUUUAUGUAGUUGUGUGUCUUGUUGCUUUUUUUUAGUAUGGCUGUAUGGUAAAUGUACCUUAAUUGGUACGUGACAAUAAACCAACCUUAAAACCUAUAUUUUAUGCUAAAAUGAUGACUAUUAAUAAAAACUCGUUUAUUUUCUCAAUAAUUAAGCUAAAACAGUAAGUUAAUCGUGCAGUUAUAACAUUGUAGCAUAAUAAUUUAUUUUGUGACUGCAACCUAUUUCUCUUCAUUAUAUAAAUGAACAGAAAAUCAGUUUAAACAUGUCUGGUAAUUGAAGAUAUCAAUGUGUGAGUGAAAGGAUGAUUAGAUUUAUGUAAUUGCAUUGUUUCCAUUAACUCCUUCAUGUGAUUCUUUUCUAAAUUUUAAAGUACAGUUUUAAUGUUUGGAAAACAAAACUCCAAAAAUUCCCUGGAAGGUCACUUAAAAAUAAAAAUUGGAAAUUUAUGACACCCCUCGGGACCAUUUAGGUCGGUGUAAGCAAUUGGGCGGAUGGGCUUGUUUCCAUGCUGUAUGACUCAAUGUCUCCAUAGCAUUUAUGGUGGACUCACACAAGCCAAUUUACUUUACCUGAAGGUUUCAUUCCAAUGGAUGGGGUGGGAAAUUGCAACCUUCACGCGGUCCGUCCUGUUUCAACGAAUGCAAUCAACCUGGUGUGCACAAUCAAAUAAGAUCAACUAGAACAAGUAGUCUUACAACUUUAGGCUGUGCAUGAAGAAGAUUCCAAUGGAUUUGUGGUUGGCAUAGACAAUGGAUCUAAUUCAUUCUGGAAAUAAUAAAUAGUGGAGUGCCUCAGGCAUCAUUUGAUUGCCCUCAGUUCCUUAUUUUCCGCAUUAAUGACUUGGAGGAGUUCAGUUUAGUUUAUUGUCAUGUGUACUAAGGUACAGUGAAAUACUUUUGUUGCCUGCUAACCAGUCAGCGGAAAGACAAUACAUCAUUACAAUUGAGCAAUACCCAAUUCCAAACCCGAGGAAGUCAACGAUGACCUCCUUUGUUUUGUCAACAUUCAGGAUCAGAUUGUUCGUGUUGCACCAGUCCACCAGUUGUUUCACCUCCUCCCUGUAAGCCAGUUCAAUGUCGUCCCGGAUAAGGCCCACCACUGUUGUGUCAUCUGCGUACUUCAUGAUGUUGUUUGUACUAAACCUGGCACAACAAUUGUGGGUCAUCAGGGUAAACAGCAAUGGACUCAGGACGCAGCCCUGAGGGGAGCCGGUGCUCAGAGAGAUGAUGUUGGAGGUGU